CUUCUCUCUCUAUCUUAUUUUUAUUUCUAUAUAUCUAUCUUUGUACAUUGAGGGCAAUGUACAUCUUAAGUGUGGGGUGGUAUGUAAUAUCCUGAUUUUCGGGUUUUGUCGUGAUUCUCGACAUUUUGGAAAAUUUUUUUAAAAUUAGGUAUUUGGUUGUGAAAUUCAUAAUUGGAGGGUGUAAAUGGGCUUAUGGAAGGCCCUUGUGUUGUCCAAAACCCGGU
rnacentral:lncRNA from 1 species